UAGACGAAACUCUAUUUUAUCAAAAAUGCUUAAGUAUUUUCCAGUGUGACUCCUGUUGAAGCCGAGGCGAAUAGCUGAAACACGUAGCAUUUCAUCUCUUUUUUGCCUCACCAUUGUACGGAAACCAUGUAGCUGUACGGAUGUGUAAAGAAUGCUGCUGAAUGUAGCUGGAACAGAACAUAUUGGAAUUUUAGCGUCAGGACAUCUUGCUGGUUGGACGAUUAAACAUCCCUCUGUUGGGACACAGACAUUGUGUCUAGUUUGAUCUUUAGAUUAUUUCUGGGAUAAUAACUUUGCCACCAACACUGUGACUUUGAUAACUAGCAGUUGAACAGCCUUUCAAUUCUAAACAAAAGGAGUCAUGUUGACAUGACACUAUAUGGCUGGUAUUGGAGUAGGUAAUGCUGUUUGUGUGCAGAAUAUGUCUCUGAGAAGGGGUUCUAUUAUGGUAGGAGUAUCGUGUUUUACUACAGGCUGACCAGAAUCACAAACACAUCGAUUGAAAACUUUCAUCAAUUUCAACAAUUGGUUAAAAAUCAUUUUCUAGGCUGUUUGUGGUAAAGUAUAUUAUAUUAUAGCUAUGAAUUCAUAUAAUCCCGUCAAAUUGAAAUGAUUGUACCAAUUUGUAUCUACCGUUGUCGAAGCUUUGUAAACUAUAGGUUCCUAAAGACAUAGACAGACAUACACAUAAACUAACACUGCAACUUCGAAGACUAGCAGUUGAACAGCCUUUAAAUUUCAAACAAAAGGAGUUGUGGUAAUUGUAUGAUUUGUACACAUUUCUAAAUAACCUAUUAUUUAUCUAGAUUUAUCCAUUGAUAUGACACUUACUAUGGAUGGUCACGGAGUAAUGUUCGAAGUAUCGUGUUUUAGGACAGGUUGAUGAGAAUCAAACACAUUGUAUAUUAUAGUAUGGUAAGCAACAUUUUGGAUUCACGUGGGCAGAGAAUACUUUAAUAGUAAUAGGAAUGGUUAUGGUAAUGCCAAUUUUUAUAAUAUAUUAUAUUUAUAAUAAUAUGUAAAUCAAUUUUAUAAAUAUAGGGUAUAUUACAUUGCAAUAAUGAAUGUUAGUUAUCCCACCAAAUGGAUAAUAAUUGUACGUUUUACUUUGUUUAAUUGUACUUUGUAAGCCAUAGGUCUUCUACUUAGCUUAUUUUCAGUGAACAGGAAAAGUUGGCUUCGUAAUUUCCCAACAAUGUUAAAUUUACUUUAAGUUAGAACAGUUGAAAUAUCAAUUAGAUUCACAUGUGCAGGGUAAAUUUUUUUAUAGUGUUUUGCAGGUAAAAGAACAGCCUGGUUGCAAACUUUUACCCAUUUCGUGGCAAUGAAUGUAUUUCUGAUCCAGUCUUCAAUACCCACAAAUGCCAAGGUACACAGACAUUUCUAAACUGAAACUGUUAAUCUGGAAAAAAAAAAAACAACUUGCAAACCAGCUUGUUCCCUUCAUAAAAAAAACUUGCUUUAGUCAGGUGUCAUAUUGACUUCUAUUGGUUCCCUUUGUGGGAAACAUAUGCUGUGUGUGAAAAAAUGCAACCCUAACAGUCCUGGAGAUCACUUUUUUUUGUCAAGAAAAUACUGGAAAUUGGUAUUGAGAAGGUUGUUAACAGAAAGUUUUUGUAUUUUGUCAGGUCAUUCCUACGUUUAACAUGGUUGUUUAGAAAUGCCAUGGAAUCAAAAAGCACUUGACAAAAAACAUUUUGAUUGUUCUCGUACCUGUAUUAGAUGGAAAUUACUUGUGCAAUGGUACCAACCCAUUAAUGAAAACCAUGUAUUCAACCAUGGAAUGUUGACCAGCUACCUGCAGAGUGAAAAUCUACUUGACAGCGUUCAAUACGAUAGAAAUUUAAGGCCCGGCAAAACAAUAAGCACGACUUUUACCUAAAAAAAUUAAUAUCACUAAAACUAAAUAACUAUACAUCAUUUAGAUGCUAAAUUUACCAAGA